AAGGCAGUGGCAAAGGCAAAAACUACAAGCCCCACUAACCGGAUGACGAUAUUUUCACACCCCCAAGCAAGGAGGACGACUUUCCCAUAGAAAACAGUAGACAACUCAGCGUGUGCCAAGCUCAAAGCCCAAAGUCGAAGGUAUGAAGCCGUAUUUGAGACUGCACCAAGAAUAAACUCUAUGGAGUGGAUCAUUUGAUGCAAAAACACCUCACUGAAAUUAAAAUCGUCAUGAUGUGAUCGUGCAGAACCAGGCUCCAUAUCAAGAUCCAUCUCAGAGGUGCCAAGAAUCCCA
rnacentral:misc_RNA from 1 species